GAUGAACGCUGGCGGCGUGCUUAACACAUGCAAGUCGAACGGAAAGGCUCCUGCUUGCAGGGGUACUCGAGUGGCGAACGGGUGAGUAACACGUGGGUGAUCUGCCCUGCACUUCGGGAUAAGCCUGGGAAACUGGGUCUAAUACCGGAUAGGACGAUGGUUUGGAUGCCAUUGUGGAAAGUUUUUCGGUGUGGGAUGAGCUCGCGGCCUAUCAGCUUGUUGGUGGGGUAAUGGCCUACCAAGGCGUCGGCGGGUAGCCGGCCUGAGAGGGUGUACGGCCAUAUUGGGACUGAGAUACGGCCCAGACUCCUACGGGAGGCAGCAGUGGGGAAUAUUGCACAAUGGGCGCAAGCCUGAUGCAGCGAGGCCGCGUGGGGGAUGACGGCCUUCGGGUUGUAAACUCCUUUCGCUAGGGACGAAGCGUUUUGUGACGGUACCUGGAGAAGAAGCACCGGCUAACUACGUG
rnacentral:rRNA from 1 species